AUUGAACGCUGGCGGCAGGCCUAACACAUGCAAGUCGAGCGGAUGAAGGGAGCUUGCUCCCUGAUUUAGCGGCGGACGGGUGAGUAAUGCCUAGGAAUCUGCCUGGUAGUGGGGGACAACGUUUCGAAAGGAACGCUAAUACCGCAUACGUCCCACGGGAGAAAGUGGGGGAUCUUCGGACCUCACGCUAUCAGAUGAGCCUAGGUCGGAUUAGCUAGUUGGUGAGGUAAAGGCUCACCAAGGCGACGAUCCGUAACUGGUCUGAGAGGAUGAUCAGUCACACUGGAACUGAGACACGGUCCAGACGCCUACGGGAGGCAGCAGUGGGGAAUAUUGGACAAUGGGCGAAAGCCUGAUCCAGCCAUGCCGCGUGUGUGAAGAAGGUCUUCGGAUUGUAAAGCACUUUAAGUUGGGAGGAAGGGCAGUAAGUUAAUACCUUGCUGUUUUGACGUUACCAACAGAAUAAGCACCGGCUAACUUCGUGCCAGCAGCCGCGGUAAGAC
rnacentral:rRNA from 1 species